UACGUAGGGUGCAAGCGUUGUCCGGAAUUAUUGGGCGUAAAGAGCUCGUAGGCGGUUUGUCGCGUCUGCUGUGAAAACCGGAGGCUCAACCUCCGGCCUGCAGUGGGUACGGGCAGACUAGAGUGGCGGUAGGGGAGAUUGGAAUUCCUGGUGUAGCGGUGGAAUGCGCAGAUAGAUCGGGAGGAACACCAGUGGGCGAAGGCGAGUGCUCUGGGCAGU
rnacentral:rRNA from 1 species